rnacentral:rRNA from 1 species
GACGAACGCUGGCGGCGUGCCUAAUACAUGCAGGUUGAGCGCUGAAGGUUGGUACUUGUACCAACUGGAUGAGCAGCGAACGGGUGAGUAACGCGUGGGGAAUCUGCCUUUGAGCGGGGGACAACAUUUGGAAACGAAUGCUAAUACCGCAUAAAAACUUUAAACACAAGUUUUAAGUUUGAAAGAUGCAAUUGCAUCACUCAAAGAUGAUCCCGCGUUGUAUUAGCUAGUUGGUGAGGUAAAGGCUCACCAAGGCGAUGAUACAUAGCCGACCUGAGAGGGUGAUCGGCCACAUUGGGACUGAGACACGGCCCAAACUCCUCCGGGAGGCAGCAGUAGGGAAUCUUCGGCAAGGGACGAAAGUCUGACCGAGAACCGCCGCGGGAGUGAAGAAGGUUUUCGGAUCGAAAAACUCUGUUGGUAGAGAAGAACGUUGGUGGGAGGGGAAAGCUCAUCAAGGGAGGGUAACUACCCAAAAAGGGACGGCUAACUCCGG